rnacentral:lncRNA from 1 species
UGUGGGCGAGUAUUUAGUUCUAUAUUAGUUAUGUAUUGGAUAGAGCUUGGGUACUCAUAUUAUAGAAUCAAAAAAUUCAAAAAAUAUCUUCCAACUAAUCUUUUUGGAUAAGAUCGUAAGUUGUGAAAAAUAUAAUUGAAGUGAACCUGGCUAAUAAUCUAUAGAGUAGAGGAUAUUAUAUGAAUCUAUUUGGUUUGACUAUGAGCUAGUUGUGAUGCUUGUGAUUGGAUUUGAAUGGAUUUAGAUCCUUAAUAUGACAAAGAUGCUACAGAC